rnacentral:rRNA from 1 species
AUUGAACGCUGGCGGCAGGCCUAACACAUGCAAGUCGAGCGGGGUUUUCGGACCUAGCGGCGGACGGGUGAGUAAUGCGUAGGAAGCUACCCGAUAGAGGGGGAUACCAGUUGGAAACGACUGUUAAUACCGCAUAAUGUCUACGGACCAAAGUGUGGGACCUUCGGGCCACAUGCUAUCGGAUGCGCCUACGUGGGAUUAGCUAGUUGGUGAGGUAAUGGCCCACCAAGGCGACGAUCCCUAGCUGGUUUGAGAGGAUGAUCAGCCACACUGGAACUGAGACACGGUCCAGACUCCUACGGGAGGCAGCAGUGGGGAAUAUUGGACAAUGGGCGCAAGCCUGAUCCAGCUAUGCCGCGUGUGUGAAGAAGGCCUUCGGGUUGUAAAGCACCUUCAGUAGGGAGGAAGCGUUGUGUGUUAAUAGUACACAGCGUUGACGUUACCUACAGAAGAAGCACCGGCUAACUCUGUGCCAGCCGCCGCGGUAACAC